UUCCUCUAAGAACUGCUUUUGCUGUGUCCCAUAGGUUUUAGGUUGAACCUAUGGAUCAUUGAAGAAAUCAAAGAGGAAAUCAAAAGAUACUUAGAGACAAAUGUAUCUAUUUCUUAAUACCAUGCUGUAAUAUACUGAAUGAAGUAGGAUAAUUUCAUGUAGUAUAAUUAGUAUUUCAUGUAGUAUAAUUAUGACAAUGUAGUAUAAUUAUUUUAUUCAGAAAUACAUACUGAGUACCUACUAUGAGCUAGGCACUGGCAUAUAGACAUACAUAUAUAUGUGUAUGUGUGUGUAUUAGUUUUAAGAUACGUUCGCAUAUUAUUUGAUCCUCACUUCUAAUAGAAUAAAGUAGAAGGGACAGUGUAUGACUUAGGAUACCAGGUCAUAAAAAACCCUCUGGCUUCCUGAUUGUAUUCUCAUUCUUGGUUUACUUUGCUCUGGAGGAAGUUAGCUCCUAUAUGGAGAAACUCAUGUGGAGAGUAACUGAGGCCUGGAGCCACCAGCCACAUAGAUGGGCCAUCUUGGAAGUGUAUCCAACAGCCCCAUCCAAGCUUUCAGAUGACUACAUCCAUGUCCAACAUCUUGAGUCAGUUUCUUGAGAAAUUCUGAGUAGUUAAGCCACUCUCAGAACUCUGACCUUCUGAAAUUUAAUAAAUAUUUGUUUUAAAUCACUGAUAUUUGAGGUGAUUUGUUGCACAGCAAUAGAUGACUAAUACAGUGUGUGUGUGUGCGUGUGUGCACGUGCGUGCAUGUGUGUGUUAUCAACAGUGAUCAAAGAAAGAUAACAGCAGCCUGGAACAUAUUAAGUACCUGUUCCAAAGGUUCAUCUCUUUCCCUGUAGUCUCCAUUUUAGCUGAUAUCAUAAUAACACACUUGUUCAACCAAAUAUAAAAACCUAGGUCAUCGUUGACUCCUCACUUCCUACAGAUAGGUCACCAAAUCAUUAUAAUCCCACUCCCUAUAUCCUAAUGGUAUUGCUUCCCGUCUUUUACCAUUCUAUCUCCUUUGUUUAAUCAAAAAACUGUAGCAUCUUUGUAGCAUCUUCAUAGUGAAUUCCUACAUCAAGGUCCUAGAACAUUUCAUGGAUGCUGGAUCCCCUCCACUACCUCUGUGCUUGCACACACGUCUAACAUUCCAUUUUAAAAUGCUUUUCUUUUCAUCUUUCUAGCCCAAGAGUUCCUGGAGUGUAGAGACUUGUCUCAUUCCUCUCAAUCUCUUCUGUCUCCAGCAAGGGCCUGGCAAAGACGGUGCUCUGAAAAUAUUAGUAUGCUGAUUUUCAAUUGAUAUAUAACAAAUUAAAUUAUCUCCACUUAGUGGCUUAAACAACAAACAUUUAUUACUUCACACUUUUCGUAGGUCAAGAAUCUCACGUGGUUUUGUUGGGUCAUUUGACUCAAGGUCCCUCAAAAAGUCAUAGUCUUCAUGUCAAGGCUCAAAUGGGGGACAGGCCACAUCUAACUCACUCCUGCAGCUGUUAGAGGCCACUGGUUCUCAAUGCCACAUGGACUGCUCAGCAGGUGGAUUCCAUAAGAGCCAGUAUGGAGAGUGAGUGAGACAGGGUCAGCCAGGCAGAACCAGAGUGUAAUCUAAUCUCAGAAGGGAUAUUCCUUUACUUCUGCCAAAUAUUUAUUAGAAGUGAGUUACCAGGUCAGCCCAGAUAAGUUUCACAAGAGGUUAUUACACAGGGGCCUGAAUACCCAGAGCCAAGGAUCACUGGGAGAUACCUUAGGAGCUGCCUGCCUUGAACAUCUUGAGCUUGUCUCUCAAAACAGGCCCGGUCUUGGGGGUCCAUCACCUCUCUAAGAACCAUCUUCAUCUCCUCCUCCUCCUCUGUGCCCUUCCAGGAAAAGAGGAGCAGACUCCUCUGCUCCCAGGUAACCAGUGGACAGCAGUCCAUCUCUAAACUCCAUUCAUCCACUUAUGUAGUCUGUGUUUCAGCCCUGGAAAUGUUGCUUAACCUCAUUCAUGUUCUAGCUACCCAUCUAGAAAUGGGGUUAAUAAUGGAACUCACCUCCUAAGUUUGUUGUGAGGAUUAAAAACGCAUAUGGAAGCUUUUAACAUAGUUCACAAAGCAAUGUCACUUCUCAAUAAACAAAAGCAACCUUUGUUACUGUCAUUAUUAUGAUCAUGAUUAUUAUCAUUUUGUCCAUGCAUGUCAAGAUAUCUAAAAGGGCAGUUUCUUCCUUGCCAAACUUGGCUCUACUUUUAACACUUGUUCAGUCUCUUCACACUGUAAUUUAAAAAAAUUAAAAAAAAAGAAGGGCAGCUUCUGUGUUGUGGAUGACAGGAAGACACUACUAUACAGCUCUUCCCAGAACUAGAAAUUGAAAAAUCCAAGGAAGAGCGUAUAGGACCCCAUUGGUGCAUCAGCGUAAAUGUGCAAAGACAGAGGUUGGAAAUGGAUGUAGAAUAAGAUCCCACAGUGCCGUAAUAUGGGUAGAAAUCAUGCUGGAGGGGGGCACUUUUUGUACUUUGCCUUCUUUUGAAAAAUUCCACUUGGUUUCCCUAAUACCAUCUUUUUAAAAGUUAAGGAUAAUCCAUCUAUGCUGAGGGACCCCCAGGACAUGAUCUGUACUGUCUGUAAAAAGAUUUAAGUCCGAGAAGCAGAAGGGAAAAAACAUUUCUUGAGUCAAAAUUGUUAAGCCACAGAGUACAUGUACAAUUCAACCUGCAUUAUCUCAUCCUUGCCACCCAACCAUAAAAGGGCAGUUAUUCCUAGCCCCCAUGUUAAAAAAAAUUGGGGGAAAUCCACAUAAUAAAAUUAACCACUUUAAAGUGAACAAUUCAAUGUACAUUCAUAAUGUUGUGUAGCCAUCAUCUCUACAUUUUCAUCACCGUAAAAGGAAACCCUGUACCCAUUAAGCAUUUAUUCCCAUACCCCCUUCCCUAGCCCCUGGCAAUUACCAAGCUACAGUGUUUCUAUGGGUUUACCUCUUCUGGAUACUUCACAUUAACAGAAUCAUACAUUUGUAACUUUUUGUGUCUGGCUUCUUUCUCUUCAUAUGUUCAUAUAGUCUUUGUGAGGUCUGUCCACGUUGCAUAUAUUCAUACUGCUUCCUAUUUAUGGCUGAAUAAUAUUCCUUUGUUUACCCAGUCAUCUUUUGAUGGUCAUUUGGGCUGUUCCUACCUUUUGGGUAUUGUGAAUAUUGCUGCUGUGAACCUGUAUACAGGAAUUUGUCUGUUUUUCUGUUCUUUGGGGUGUGUUUCUAGGCGCAGAAUUGCUGGGUCAUAUAGUAAUUCUGUUUGAUCUUUUGAGGAAUUUCUUCAUAUCAUUUUUUUACAGGUGGAGAAAAGCAUGAAUUCUUUAAAAUACUUUGAGUGUAGAGUAUGGGUGUGUGGAAAACUUCCUGGAGGAGGUGAGAUGAUCUAAGGGAGGCACGUUGCUCUUGUGGGAUGGAGCAGAGCAUUCAGGGUGGAGAUUCCUGGAUGAUAUGGACAGAGGCAGAGGUGAAGUUUCACAUUUUGGAGGAUGGAUAUAGCUGGGCUGCUUUGAAAGAGACAUAUCAAGAUGGAAGUGGACCCAACAUAAAAGUUAGUGGACACGACACAAAAUUGAGUGGCAGGCAUCAAUGAUUUGGAUCAGUCACCCGAGCACAUUCCCUGGAAUUCCAGCAAGUUCACAGAAGGGAUUUUCCUUCUUCAAGCCCCUCUCCCUGCCCUGCCAAUUCUUGACAGUGAUGUUAAACCACACCUGCUUGGCCCCUGAGACAUCUCUCACCUGCCCCGGGUCCUACAGGAAGAUGAACUGCCAAGGUGAAAAGGCUCACGGUAAGUCCCAAGCCUGAUCUGCAAACCAAGGCCAGUUUGUGCCUUGGGCUCAAUUUCCAAUGCCCUCUAAAGGACUGGCCAAUGUCAGGCAGUGCCUACCUGAUACCCUGGGCCAAUGCCAGGGCAGGAGAAUCAGUUAGACUUUUGUGAAGACACUACUGGGGAUCUCGGGAUUGAUUUUUGAAGCUUUGAUUGAGUUCAGUACUUUUCCAGAAGAACAGGAGGCUUGGAGUGGCUUGACAGCUGCCACUGUCCAGGAUAAAAUUAUCCUGAGCAGACCAACUCUCUAGGUCAAAUAGUGGUCUUAAACCAGAGGCUCACAGCCAAAUUCAGCCUAUAUAUUAUUUUUUCCUUGGCCUGCACAGGGAUUUUUAUUUAUUUAAAUUACUUGACAAGAUGUGAAACUUGAAUGAUUCCAUGUGAAAAUGUGCAUUUCUGACUUUUUUUAAAAAAAGAUUUGAUUGUAGGUGUGAUGUUUAAGAAUGUGAACUCUUAAGCCUGAUUUCCUGGCUUAGAAUCCUGGCUCUGUGAUUGGGGACAAGGUAUCAAACCUGUCUGUGCCUCAAUUUGCUCAUCUAUCAAAUGGGAACAAUAAUAAAAAUACCUAUCUCAAGGGUAAAGAUUGAAUGAACUAAUAUAAGUGAUGCUCUUAAAACAGUGCCUACCAUAUACAAGUAUUGUAAACAGUUGCUCUUAAUACUGGGCAUAGCAUUCAUAAUGACUACAGUUACCUCCCUUGCUCAAGAUAGGACAUAACCUCUCCAUUAACUGUGCUUCCCACCACACGCAAUUCACUCAUUAUAUUGGCUUCCUGGCCUCUGUAAGUAUUUGAGUUUGAGAUCCGUGGUCUCAAAUGAAGAUAUAGUAUUUGCCAGUGUAGGACCUCUGUAAACCCCUGGGCAGCAACCAGGAGAUUCCAUAUUUGCCAAGUUCCUCACAGCAGGAAAUUUAUGGGCAUAAUAGAUGAAUAUUACUUCCGGAUCCUGAUUUAGCCCUGUGACUUAGUUUGGUUCAGCAACCGCAUGAAACAGAAUGGACGAUGUGUCAGCUCUGAGCCUAAUCCUGACAUGUUUCCUCUUGCAAUUUCUCCAUUUAUUAUUGAGAAGGAAAAGUUUGUGCUCGAUGCUGGCCUCUGGAAGAAAAGGAAUGAUGCCUGAAGCAGGGACUCCCCAGUUAAGAUGACCUAUCCAGUCCAACAAAGAACAGUGUCCCAGUUGACCUGAAGAAGUAUUAGCACACCUAGCCGAGAUCUGCUGAAACCAACCUAGAUCAGCCAACCCACACUCAUAUGAGAUAUAAUAAUACAUGGUUGUUGUUUUAAGCCACUGAGUUUUGUGGUGGAUUGUGACCCAGCAAACCCUAUCAGAGAAACUAUCCAAAGGAACCCUUAACAUCACCAAGGGACCAAAAGAGGACAGUGCCCAUUUUUCCAAGAUACAGUGAUGAUGUCACCCAGGUUAGGUAUGACUAGGACCUCCCUAAGGACUGGGCUGCUCUCUGCCUCACACCAAGAGUCAAACAUUCAGGGGUUGGAGUGUUUGAUACUUAGGUGGAUACCCUGUCCCUUCACACAACCUUGGACAAAAACCCCAGGCCACAGCAGAGUACCACCAAAAGCGUUUGAUGGAUUUUCUCAGUUCCCGUGGUUUCUUAUUCUCUCAUGGUUCCUGUCAUCUCCACAUCCUCAGAUACACAAUUUCACCAAAUUUUUGUCCAUUUGUGUAUUCUGGCUAUACAAUGUAAGAAUGAACUGUUGGGGAGUUCCCGUCAUGGCGCAGUGGUUAACGAAUCCGACUAGGAACCAUGAGGUUGCGGGUUCGGUCCCUGCCCUUGCUCAGUGGGUUAACGAUCCGGCGUUGC